rnacentral:rRNA from 1 species
UACGUAGGGUGCAAGCGUUGCCCGGAUUUAUUGGGCGUAAAGAGCUCGUAGGCGGUUUGUCGCGUCUGCUGUGAAAACUCGGGGCUUAACUCCGGGCCUGCAGUGGGUACGGGCAGACUAGAGUGCGGUAGGGGAGACUGGAAUUCCUGGUGUAGCGGUGAAAUGCGCAGAUAUCAGGAGGAACACCGGUGGCGAAGGCGGGUCUCUGGGCCGUAACUGACGCUGAGGAGCGAAAGCGUGGGGAGCGAACAGG